rnacentral:rRNA from 1 species
AGCGAACGCUGGCGGCAGGCUUAACACAUGCAAGUCGAACGGGCGUAGCAAUACGUCAGUGGCAGACGGGUGAGUAACACGUGGGAAUAUCCCUUUCAGCUCGGAAUAACUCAGGGAAACUUGAGCUAAUACCGAAUACGUCCUUCGGGAGAAAGAUUUAUCACUGAGAGAUUAGCCCGCGUCUGAUUAGCUAGUUGGUGAGGUAAUGGCUCACCAAGGCGACGAUCAGUAGCUGGACUGAGAGGAUGAUAAGCCACACUGGGACGGAGACACGGCCCAGACUCCUACGGGGGGCAGCAGUGGGGAAUAUUGGACAAUGGGGGCAACCCUGAUCCAGCCAUGCCGCGUGAGUGAUGAAGGCCUUAGGGUUGUAAAGCUCUUUUGCUAGGGAAGAUAAUGACUGUACCUAGAGAAUAAGCCCCGGCUAACUUCGUGCCAGCCGCCGCCGUAA